CAGCUCCCUUCCCUGUAACUGAUAUUAACGUGCUGAAGGAAUGAACAAGCCCUACUGAUUGUUUUCUCUGUCUUAAGGGUGGCGCCAACUAUAGAUGGCACCUCUUGCAAAGCUCUCGGAUCAAUUGGGAGCAUAUGUAGAAGCAGAACAGUGUUUACUGAUGUCAUGAUGAUAAAGAUGAAGGGCUCUUGGGAGAAGCUGCAGGUUGGUUGGUCUUGGUAGCGUUUAAAGUUCCAUAUAAAAUGUUCAGUGUGGACACAACCAUGAGGUCCCACCUCCUACUCUCCUCCUAGCUGAUAAAAA